CCUCGGGCGGCAGCAGUGGGGAAUAUUGCACAAUGGGGGAAACCCUGAUGCAGCAACGCCGCGUGAGUGAAGAAGUAUUUCGGUAUGUAAAGCUCUAUCAGCAGGGGGGAAGAUGACGGUACCUGAGUAAGAAGCCCCGGCUAACUACGUGCCAGCAGCCGCGGUAAUACGGAGGGGGCCAGCGUUAUCCGGAUUUACUGGGUGUAAAGGGAGCGUAGACGGGGAGACAAGUCUGAUGUGAAAGCCCGGGGCUCAACCCCGGGACUGCUUUGGAAAAUGCCUGCCUGGAGUGCGGGAGAGGCAGGCGGAAUUCGUAGUGUAGCGGUGAAAUGCGUAGAUAUUAGGAAGAACACCGGUGGCGAAGGCAGCUUGCUGGACAGUAACUGACGUUGAGGCUCGAAAGCGUGGGGAGCAAACAGGAUUAGAUACCCCAGUAGUC
rnacentral:rRNA from 1 species